rnacentral:siRNA from 1 species
AGUAGCACCCGUCGGAGCCUGUGC